GGGGACAGAGGGACACACAGUCCGAAAACACCUGAUCUCUGGGACAGACACGACCUGGAAAGACAGAGAAAAAGAGGAUUAAACAGAGUUUCCUGUACCGUGACAGACUGUUCUGAUGUAGACUGCCCAGGUGCCAUCAGUAGAUGAGGCCAACAGCCCUGCAGUAUAACUGGUCCAUUUCCACACAUUCCCUGCCAUGCCAUCUGAACCUGUACAGUUACCUGUACCAGAAUCCAGAACCUGUCCCUGUAACCUAAAUCAGAGCAGCGUGGUCCGCCCCAGCCCUCACAACAUGCCCUCACUGUCUUGUUCACCAUCUGGAUCUCCAUCUCUGGGAACCUUAGAACAACAGACACAUCAG